rnacentral:misc_RNA from 1 species
ACGUGAUGAUUUUCGAUUCCUUUGCAGCUUGCCAUCGUCUGAAGGCUUUAGUUGUGGAUAGCCACCACGAUGGCAUGUAAAAUCCCUUCUUGUAAUGCCCCUACCAACUCCAUCCUUCCCCCGAGUACGAUGACGUCUAAUUGAGAAGCCGCAUUGCUUUCCAAAGCUACAGUAAAAUUCAUAUGCAGCGUCCUGUGAUACAAACCUCUGACCAAUGAAAGGAAUAAG